rnacentral:rRNA from 1 species
GACGAACGCUGGCGGCGUGCUUAACACAUGCAAGUCGAACGGAAAGGCCCUGCUUUUGUGGGGUGCUCGAGUGGCGAACGGGUGCGUAACACGUGAGUAAACUGCCCUUGACUUUGGGAUAACUUCAGGCAACUGGGGCUAAUACCGGAUAGGAGCUCCUGCUGCAUGGUGGGGGUUGGAAAGUUUCGGCGGUUGGGGAUGGACUCGCGGCUUAUCAGCCGGUUGGUGGGGUAGUGGAUUACCACGGGUUUGACGGGUAGCCGGCCUGAGAGGGUGACCGGCCACAUUGGGACUGAGAUACGGCCCAGACUCCUACGGGAGGCAGCAGUGGGGAAUAUUGCACAAUGGGCGGAAGCCUGAUGCAGCAACGCCGCGUGCGGGAUGACGGCCUUCGGGUUGUAAACCGCUUUCGCCUGUGACGAAGCGUGAGUGACGGUAAUGUGUAAAGAAGCACCGGCUAACUACGUG